ACCCAGGCCCACCCAGGCCCACCCAAGCCCACCCAGGCUCCCUGAGGAGCCGGGGCUGCAAGCUUCCCUGCAAGGGGGGGGCCCGAGGGAGUGCGGGCGGCUUCUGGCCAACUUUGUGAAGUUCAGAGACUCCCAGUCGUCGUAGUCAGCAGACAGGGAUGGAGAAACGGAAAUACCACCACCCUCCAGCCAAACCUGGGAGGACUGAUUGCAGGGGAGCUGCUGCUCCAGAUGUUGCACUAGAGGCGCUGCGAGUGUGAGCAGGUGGCAGUGGGCAACAUCAUGGGUUGUAGCAGAUGUUCUCAACAUUUCUUUUGAAACUUCUUUAUAUUGCCUUGCAAGAGGAGCCCUAGAGCCUCAUCCCUGGGGUAGCUACUAUGCUCUGAUGUAAGCUGUUGUCCACCAGGGAGCUUUGGCAAGAGAAUUGGCCAGAUCACCAACUUCAUCUCCACUGUAGAAAAACAACUUGAAGCUCAUCUCUGUUGAAGGCUAUUUCUUUUGCUGUAAGAGAGGCAUACAACAACUCAUUUACAAGCUGAGCUAAAGAAGAGAAAAAAAACAAAGCAUGAUGCAACCAGAGAGAAGGAUCCUGCCUGCUUCGGUAGCCCUGUCCAAAGCAGAUAUACUGUCUGUAGGACAGGGGUAGACUGAAUACCUGCUUCACUGAAUACCUGCUUCACAGCACCUUUCACAUUUUCUUGUUGGAAAGACAACCGUUGGAGAAUCAUCUUGUUACCAUCAGCAAAAAUGCAAACAAAUCAAGACAUUAAGAAUGCCACAGUGGCCAGCAGUUAAUGAUGCCAGUGUUACACAAGCUUCAGCAAAGUUUUCAAGACAGUGUGCCUCACUAGCCAGGAAUCAGGGAAGAUUGAACCUAUCCUUUUUGUCUCAGCUGUUCCUCAAAUCAGUGCAACCCCUCCAAAUUAAUGUGAAUUGAAACAUGCAUUGCCUUUUCAACUUAAUUGAGUACUUACUAUGGGUGAAUCACUGCACAAAAUAGGGGAGGGAAAAUGAGGGAGACAAGUAAGAUGUGUUUCCUGCCUUCAAUGGAUUUACAAUUAGUUUCAGGGCACUUUUUUUUUUCCCUGCUGCUCUUAAUUAAGUGUGUUUCUAAGAUAGAAAACAAAUGAAUGGAAAAGUGUAUUCUGUAAGUAUUUUAAAUCCCUUUAAUAAAAAACAAAACAAAACAGCCUAAUGUGGGCAACUCAGGACAUCUUAAUUCCAUUUGUUUGGACUUUUGAUAGGUAGGAUUUAUUUAUUCAUUCUGUAAAUAUUUGGUAGACUUUAGAGAUAUUAACACAUUAGAUUUGGAAUUAAUUGAAUUCAAUUCUCCCCCCACUCCCGAGAUAUAGAUUAUCUGUUGAAAAAUAUAUUGUGUUUGUACAUUUCUUGCAGAGUGGGUAGGUGAAUUACAUCUGUUGUCUCUGUAGGCCUCUACCUUCUGUGCCUUAGGAACCUGACAUCAUGUGAGCUAUUAGCUUCGGGAAAGGGGGAGAUUUGGAUCAAACUUGGGAAUGUUGUUCAUGGACCCAGCAUAGGGUUGGGAUAGGGGCAAAAGAGACCUGGGCAAUGACUCUGUAGGAAACUUUGGCUAUUUUGGUAUUCAUGUGUUGUCCUCUAUGCUACAAAAUUACGUUUUGUUUUUUUUUUUUUUUUGAAGACUUAUUUCUGAUCUGGGAAUAAGUCAUGAUUCUUCCAGUGUUAAGAUGCUAAUAUGACUGUAGACAUUAGACAUUUUAUGUGGUGUAUGUAACACAUUUUUGUAUGUAUGAAGCAACAAUAGACAUGUCUUUGUCUUGAGUGGUGUCCAUCUGAAUGGAAAAUGUGCCAGCUUUUUUUUUUUUUUUUUAAACAUCAUCAACAGGCUUCUUAAUUAAGCUGCCACUAUAUACUGCCAAUAGCACUGUGUGGCAUUUGAGAAAUGAAUUGUGAAGUGCCGUUUCCCUCUUAUUGAAUAAACAAUGUUGCUCCAUAUAAAAUGGAUUUAAAGUGUUCUUCGAAUGGGACAUUAUAUUGCUCCCUAAAGAAUUUGAUGAGAAUUCUCAUACUCUCCCUUUUUACUUAAUUUCCCAAAACUUUUAUUUUGCUCCUCAGUAAGGAAUAGUUCUAAUUUGACCAGUGACUUAAUUACAUGAUUCAUCCUUAAUAGGAUGAAUUGCCCUGCCCCCAAACUCCUGAUACUGGAUAUUUGUUAAUCUGAGUUAUGAAACUAUAUUUUACUACAUUGUAGGUAUGUACUUCAUGUUCUGGGAAAUUUUUUGGAGGGACCAUCUCUAUGUUCCUGGAACCUGGCACAGUGCCUGGUGCAUAGUAGAGAAUGCCUGCUUUCCUUGACUCGUGGCCUCUUCCUCCAUCUUCCAAACUAGCAGUGGUAAGUCGAAUCCUCCUCAUAUGGCAUCUGUCUGACUCUGCUCCAUUGUCACCUUUCUUUUUCACUGACUGCAGCUGGAAAACGUUCUGUACCUUUGAGGAUUCAUGUGAUUAGAUUGGGCCUACCCAAAUAAUAUAGGAUAAUCUCUCCAUCUCAAGGUCCAUAUCUCAAAACACAUCUUCAAAAUCUCUUUUGCCCAUGCAAGAUACAGUAUUUAUAGGUCCUGAAGAAUGGGACUUGGACAUCAUUGUUGGGAGGUGGGAGUUAAUGGCAUUGAUCUGCCUACCACGUGGAGUCUCUGAGAGUUCUUUCUCAUACCAAUAUUUGGAGAGUUAAUUGCAGUUCCUAGGCAUCUCCAAACUUUUAAAAUCAUGCAUGGAAAUAGUUUUAAAAGUU